rnacentral:rRNA from 1 species
GACAGAGGGGGCAAGCGUUGCUCGGAAUUACUGGGCGUAAAGGGCGCGUAGGCGGGAUGGCAAGUCGGUCGUGAAAUCCCUCGGCUCAACUGAGGAUCGUCGAUCGAUACUGCCGUUCUUGAGGAUUGCAGAGGAGACUGGAAUUCCCGGUGUAGCGGUGAAAUGUGUAGAGAUCGGGAGGAACACCGGUGGCGAAGGCGGCUUCCUGGACCGACACUGACGCUGAGGCGCGAAAGCUAGGGGAGCAAACGGG